rnacentral:rRNA from 1 species
CCUACGGGUGGCAGCAGUCGAGAAUCAUUCACAAUGGGGGAAACCCUGAUGGUGCGACGCCGCGUGGGGGAAUGAAGGUCUUCGGAUUGUAAACUCCUGUCAUGUGGGAGAAAAUUAAAAAGAUAGUACCACAAGAGGAAGAGACGGCUAACUCUGUGCCAGCAGCCGCGGUAAUACCGAGGUCUCAAGCGUUGUUCGGAAUCACUGGGCGUAAAGCGUGCGUAGGCUGUUUCGUAAGUCGUGUGUGAAAGGUGCGGGCUCAACCCGCGGACGGCACCUGAAACUGCGAGACUAGAGUAAUGGAGGGGGAACCGGAAUUCUCGGUGUAGCAGUGAAAUGCGUAGAUAUCGGGAGGAACACUCGUGGCGAAGGCGGGUUCCUGGACAUUAACUGACGCUGAGGCACGAAGGCCAGGGGAGCGAAAGGGAUUAGAUACCCCGGUAGUC